rnacentral:rRNA from 1 species
CAGCCGCCGCGGGAAUACAGAGGAUUUAAGCGUUAUCCGGAAUGAUUGGGCGUAAAGCGUCUGUAGGUGGCUUUUCAAGUCCGUCGUCAAAUCCCAGGGCUCAACCCUGGACAGGCGGUGGAAACUACCAAGUUGGAGUACGGUAGGGGCAGAGGGAAUUUCCGGUGGAGCAGUGAAAUGCGCAGAUAUCAGGAGGAACACCGAUGGCGAAGGCAGAUCUCUGGGCCGUAACUGACGCUGAGGAGCGAAAGCAUGGGGAGCGAACAGGAUUAGAUACCCCGGUAGUCCCUGUCUCUUAUAC